AUACGGAGGAUCCGAGCGUUAUCCGGAUUUAUUGGGUUUAAAGGGUGCGCAGGCGGCCAUUUAAGUCAGCGGUUAAAUCGUGGGGCUCAACCCCAUUCUGCCGUUGAUACUGGGUGGCUUGAUUGCGGUCGAGGUUGGCGGAAUUCGUUGUGUAGCGGUGAAAUGCAUAGAUAUGACGAAGAACACCGAUUGCGUAGGCAGCUGACCAGACCGCAAAUGACGCUCAUGCACGAAAGUGCGGGGAUCGAACAGGAUUAGAUACCCUGGUAGUCCGCACAGUAAACGAUGAAUACUCGCUGUUUGCGAUAUACAGUAAGCGGCACAGCGAAAGCGUUAAGUGAUCCACCUGGGGAGUACGCCGGCAACGGUGAAACUCAAAUGAAUUGGCGGGG
rnacentral:rRNA from 1 species